rnacentral:rRNA from 1 species
UACGGAGGGGGCUAGCGUUGUUCGGAAUUAUUGGGCGUAAAGGGCGCGUAGGCGGCCGGAUAAGUCUGAUGUGAAAUCCCUCGGCCCAACCGGGGAACUGCAUUUGAAACUGUUCGGCUUGAGUCCGGGAGAGGGUAGUGGAAUUCCCAGUGUAGCGGUGAAAUGCGUAGAUAUUGGGAGGAACACCGGUGGCGAAGGCGGCUACCUGGACCGGUACUGACGCUGAGGCGCGAAAGCCAGGGGAGCAAACAGG